ensembl:lncRNA
CUCCUUGUAGCCCUGUCCCUAAUGUGCCAGCAGAGCAGAGGGGAGUGCACAGAAGCUACUUCUGUUGCUUACAAAACACUAAAGAAAUCUUGACACCCUUUUCAGAUAUUUUUUCUUUCUUUCUUAAAGCAUAAACCUUCUCCCUCUGCCACUGGAGAUAUAAACGGCAUGUUUUCUGUCUCCCAGAUCUGAUAGUCUAAUGGGAAGAUGGUCAUAGAAAGAACUAUCUGUGAUAUAGGUGAUAAGGAUCACUCUAAAGGGACUGAGUAUGAGUCUUUGAGUGACUCCAUAGAAGAGGGUCAUUGUGGAGAUGGAGUGAUGGAGCUGUGUACAUAAGAGCACGUAAACCAAGAGCCAUGAUCUGCUUUACAAAAUUCUGUUUGCUGGCUAGAGCUAUGUGGAGAGCCAUUGGAGAAGCCACAUAAGAGGGAGAGGCCCUGAGAGACAAGCCUGGCCAUCCCAGCAUCCCAGCCAAAUCCAGGUCCCUGAUGACCUACCAGCUGGAUAAUCCACAUGAGCAGCCAUUGGUUGCAGGGAGAUGACAGCUGUAUAUGAACCAGGAAGUGGGUCUCACCAGACACAGAAUCUGCUGUUGCCUUCAUUGUGAACUCUCCAGCUUUCAGAACUUCGAGAAAUAAGUGUGUGUUGUUUAUGCACAAAGUCAAAUGUAUUUUGUUACAGUUGCCCAAACUAACUAGGACACGGGUUUGUAUACAUAUUAGGAAAUUGAUGUAGAGUGCGGGACUGUCUGUAUUUUAGGUAGAAUUUAAAAAAGUAGAGUUAAAAUAAAAGAUGUAAGACUGAAGUGAAG